GAAUAACCUCACGCCCGUGAGGUUGAGCAGAUGUUAUGGGGGGCAUCUGCUCAAAAAGAAAAGCGGCC
rnacentral:sRNA from 1 species